UAGCGUUGCCCGCUCUCUAUGGUGGAAAGUUUGCUAUUGAUUUCUUCCGUUUGACCGACGCAGCUAGAGAGAAAGCCUUCAAGGAAGAAUUUGUCAAAAAUGCAACUGAAAAGCUCCGUUUAGCAGUGAGCUCAAUCAGCGCUAAUAGCAGCAUCCAAGUUCAACAAAAAUUAACGUCCUGGUUCGUGCAACUGGAAUCGUUGGUUCAACGACCAAAAGAAUCAUUGGAAGAAAAUAUAAACGAAUUGUGCAAAGAAAUUGCUAGACUAGAAAAGAUCGAAAAGGAGGCAAAUAUACAGAGGGACAAAGCAAGUUUCUUUGAAGACGAACUGUCACAGUUUAUCACCAACAACUUUGGUUCGGCCAAAUGCAAUAUUUAAGUUUUCACAUAUGUGUUUAGUUUAGGGAUCAUUGCGGAGAAUUUUGAAGCUUUUAAGAAUGAAACUUUUGGCUGAAAGGUUUUGUGGAUGGUAGUUGA